UUUUAGAUUUACACACUGGGUCUCCCUAGCCACAAUAAACAUUAACAGGCAUGGUGUUCCUCGAUAUGACUUCUAAUGCCAGCAUAUCCUAAAGUUACAUACAUCAGCUUAAUACACUUAAGGCUAGCAUCGAGGUUUCUGGGUGGACACUCUGCUGGAAUCCUAGAUGUGUGCUCAAAAGACCCAAUAAUAAUUGCAUUGUG